CCUCUGUGUGUCCGAGUGGCAAAGAGUUAAUGGCGGAGUGCCCCAAGGAACCGUACUGGGACCAAUCCUUUUCUUGCUCAUGAUAAACGACUUACUUGAAGAUUGGCAGGACCGUUGGAAGUACGUCGACGAUACUGCCGCUGAAUCAACCUCGUACCCAGGAUCUUUCUUUGGGAAAGACCCUGGCUGCGGCUGGUCACGUGCCUCAUCAAAAAUUUAGCGCCCGAGGGGGUGUGGGGAAAGUAUCAAAUUACAUAACAUGCUUCCAGUUGGAUAUUCGUUAAAAACAUAAAUUUUGCGAAUUAUUACAUUCAAAAUACUUGCUAAUUUUUGUUUAUUUUCUUUGCUUUGAAUUUACAAGAACAUUCUUACAUUCUUACUUACAGUCAAAUCAAAGAAACCAAGCAAAUCGUUACUCGCAGUGCUCGAGUCUCGUCUUGUUACUCAAUGCAUGCUCUCUUCACACUCGAGCGCGGUUUAGUAACAAACGUUUAUUGUAAUGUUUUUAAAAUACGCCAUUACAUUCGUCCUUUCUUGUAAACGUUGAUACGCUUGGCACCGAUUCAUUUGUUACUACGUCUACGCGUCUUGUUUAUAAGAUUUUUAAAAGAAACAGUAUUGUCUAGGACUGGCCCAAUAUUAGCAAAUGUAAACAUUUGAUAUAAAUAGCUGAACAGAGAAAUGUCCAUAAGCAUAGAGGAAAUUUCAGUCAUUGAUUUACAUGGAUUUAGUACAUAAUUCGUAUUCGGUAAUUAUAGUAAGAUUUAGCCUUUUUGUUGGUCUCUAUUAAUCAUUAUAUUGUGCCAACAUACUAUAAUCUAUAUCACAAAUUUACAGUGUCAGAUGCGCACAGACAGUCAUUGGCGUCAUACGAACAGACAUAAAUUUUCGAGUUUUCUACUUCUACUAACAUUUUUAAAGUUUUCAAUGUGAAUCACCUGUUUAUCUCUAAUUCAUUAAUCAUUUGCUACUUUUAAUAUAUUUAUUUGAUAGUGCCAUAUAGUGAAUAAUGCGUUUGCACACAAGCAAUCCUGGAUAUGAUAUAGACGAUGCAAGCUGUCCAUUAAAAAAUAACGGUAUUCUAUUUCACAAAGCAAAAAUUUAAAUCUCACUUGUAUUAUUAAGAAUGCAUAUAAGCAAAAAAUAAAAGCUUAUUCAUGUCAAAUUAACGAAAGCUGUUUACAAAAUUUAUAAAGGUGGUGAACACUACUAAACAGUGCUCUGCAUAUUUGAAAGACAUGUAUAAUAUAUAGUGACAUAUAAUUUGUCGUUUGACUUAUCUUUGGUGUAUGAUUUUAAUUUUAAUACCGUAGAUUUUCAACAGACAGCUAUACUUUGACAUAUACCACGUCCAUGAUCGUUGGUUUCAGCAAUGCAAAGGGCUUUAAGUUUUUUUGUUAUAAGGUCUUUAUAUAGAUCAACAAUCUGGAUACAGUUGGCGAUAUUUCGCAAAUCAAAAGAUCUCGCUAUUUCGUUGCAAUUCCACAUCUCAUCAAUAAAUAAAUUCUUUUGGUCCGAGUAUCAGGAUAGACUUUAAUACUAAAUAAAUAACAACCACACUGUUCGGUCUGGAGAUACAUAUUUUCCUGUAGGUUUAAUAUUGCCACGCUGCACAAGCGGCAAGCCGCCGCAAGCUUGAUUUCUUUGGCAAGUCUAUAUUAAAUGAAAUCUGAUCCAACUUGCUUGAAUUGUAACUCGACACCAGAUUAUAGAGUAGAACGUCACGAUAUAAAUAUUAAUUUAAGAGUUCUCUUUACGAUUUCUUGUUGCAAAUUUACAGUAAAUUUCAUCACCCAAAGUUGCAAUUUUAAAACGCUACAAACACGCUCCUUUCCCACCCCUCUCACAGU
rnacentral:lncRNA from 1 species